rnacentral:misc_RNA from 1 species
CAUGACUGUACCUAGUAAAUUGAUUGAUUAUUCACUCUCCCAUUAUUUUAUCUGACACGGACAUUGUAACAGUGCAUAGUAAAGUCAACGUGGCAUUUUCUGGUUGGAUGUAAGAUAUUAUAAACUUAAAAUGAAUAGCAGAUUAAAAUAAAAUAUACUCCAAAGGAUAAAAUCAUAAAAUACCUAACUUUCAUAGGGGUAUUUGGGCUGCUGCAAUUAACCCACUUACAUGUCUUCUGCUAAAGAGCGAAGAAAGCUGAACCCAGAAAGAAAACACACACACUACCUCUGAAUCCAGACAGCUCCUACUCUUUGUUCUAUGACUAGAAAAAG